rnacentral:lncRNA from 1 species
UUCUGAUCCAAAUCCUCUGAAAUGGAUGGGGAUGCCUACCAUUCUCUUAUGAAAUGAGAGAAUGUAGGUCUUUGGACUUGAGAAUGUCCCAGAAACACAGGAAUGUGUGAGAGGUGAACUUCUGUGAUCAGUCUAAUGGGAAAUGAGAUAACAUCUCAACAAAUGUUGCAGGCUUAGUGAGGAAACAUAAGAAACAGCAAAGGAACAGAAAUGUGGGAGAAGUGUUGCCGAAGUACAUGAAGCCAAGGAAGUGCUAGGAGGAAAGCAAAACUGGGAAGAAAAUUUUCUUUCUGAAGUGUGAUCAAGUCUCUCCUGAAUUGAAACUUUGGUCAUCACUGUGGAAUUCCUGGUAUGAGAAUGCAGAGCGUCAGAGUAGAGAGUGGAUCCUUGCUGAACAACUGUAAUCAUGAAGGCAGUUCUUAUAAUUGUCCUAAUCAUCUUCACUUCGCUGUCUUC